rnacentral:rRNA from 1 species
AGAGUUUGAUCAUGGCUCAGAAUGAACGCUGGCGGCGUGCUUAACACAUGCAAGUCGUACGAGAACGCUUCAGCUUGCUGAAGCUAGUAAAGUGGCGCACGGGUGAGUAACGCGUGGGUAAUCUACCUUCGAAUUGGGGAUAACGUUGCGAAAGUGACGCUAAUACCGAAUGAUAUCAUAAGGACUUUGGUUCUUUUGAUCAAAGAUGGCCUCUCCUUGGAAGCUAUUGUUUGAAGAUGAGCCCGCGUCCCAUUAGCUUGUUGGUGGGGUAAUGGCCUACCAAGGCAGCGAUGGGUAGCUGGUCUGAGAGGAUGAUCAGCCACACUGGAACUGACACACGGUCCAGACUCCUACGGGAGGCAGCAGUGAGGAAUUUUGCGCAAUGGGGGAAACCCUGACGCAGCAACGGCCGCGUGAGUGAUGAAGGCUUUCGGGUCGUAAAGCUCUGUCAAGUGGGAAGAACUCCCGCGAGGUUAAUACCCUCAUGGUUUGACGGUACCACUGAAGGAAGCACCGGCUAACUCCGUGCCAGCAGCCGCGGUAAUACGGGGGGUGCAAGCGUUAUUCGGAUUUACUGGGCGUAAAGCGCGCGUAGGCGGCCGUUUAAGUCAGAUGUGAAAGCCCGGGGCUCAACCCCGGAAGUGCAUUUGAUACUAUUCGGCUUGAGUAUGGGAGAGGGAAGUGGAAUUCCUGGUGUAGAGGUGAAAUUCGUAGAUAUCAGGAGGAACACCGGUGGCGAAGGCGACUUCCUGGGACCAAUACUGACGCUGAGGCGCGAAGGCGUGGGGAGCAAACAGGAUUAGAUACCCUGGUAGUCCACGCAGUAAACGGUGAUCACUAGGUGUAGCGGGUAUUGACCCCUGCUGUGCCGCAGCUAACGCAUUAAGUGAUCCGCCUGGGGAGUACGGCCGCAAGGUUAAAACUCAAA